AGGCACACCGCCUGCAUUAAUGCCAACUUUUAGCGCACGGCUCUGCAAAGAGCCAUUUCCCUGGACCAAAGGCAGGAUUGGCCUUUGGUCUUUUUUU
rnacentral:sRNA from 1 species